GAUGAACGCUGGCGGCGUGCCUAAUACAUGCAAGUCGAGCGAACGGACGAGAAGCUUGCUUUUCUGAUGUUAGCGGCGGACGGGUGAGUAACACGUGGAUAACCUACCUAUAAGACUGGGAUAACUUCGGGAAACCGGAGCUAAUACCGGAUAAUAUUUUGAACCGCAUGGUUCAAAAGUGAAGGACGGUCUUGCUGUCACUUAUAGAUGGAUCCGCGCUGCAUUAGCUAGUUGGUAAGGUAACGGCUUACCAAGGCAACGAUGCAUAGCCGACCUGAGAGGGUGAUCGGCCACACUGGAACUGAGACACGGUCCAGACUCCUACGGGAGGCAGCAGUAGGGAAUCUUCCGCAAUGGGCGAAAGCCUGACGGAGCAACGCCGCGUGAGUGAUGAAGGUCUUCGGAUCGUAAAACUCUGUUAUUAGGGAAGAACAUAUGUGUAAGUAACUGUGCACAUCUUGACGGUACCUAAUCAGAAAGCCACGGCUAGCUACGUG
rnacentral:rRNA from 1 species